UGUGCUCUUGCGAUCUGAGGAUUCUAUUGACUACUACAACCAGAAAAGAUGUGUGGAUGGAAAAGGCUUGUCUUGCCAAGUCAGAUAAGAUAUGUCAAGUACUUUGAACAUGUUUUGACAUACUUCAAUGGAGAAAACUAG